GAAGGGAAAUCACCCUCUGCAUGCGCUGACGCCGUCUGUCACAUUAGAAGCUUCUAAAAUCUGUAGUGGGAACCAGGUGGCAGUACAGGAGUGCAUGUCCGUUUGACGUGGGGGAGAAAAAUGAUUUCUCUGAAAACACUUUCCAUCAUUCCCUGCAUUCAUCUUCUUCCUCACGAAACCCUUGCUCUUCUUCUUCUCCAACUUCUCUCUAAAACUCCUUCAUCUUCUCUCUAAGAUAACUCACCAUCAUCUCCUCCGAUCCCAUUUCAGAUACCGUAGAAACAUUCCCUGCACCGUGAGCAUCGUUCUAAACCGAACAGAAUUGAGAUCUGAACUGAUUAAGUGGAAGUUGUGGAGUGAUUCUUUGGGUAGAAAGCUGUGAGAGAACGAGCGAAACCCUUGCAUUUGGAAGUGCACUACUGAACCAGAUGGUGAGGCGCCACUUGAAGAAAUGCUGGAAGAAGAAAAUUUGGAAGACGCCAACCUUGUUGAAGUAGAGGUUAAAGCCGAGCCCUAGAGCGCUCGUUCAGUAGUAGCUGUUAGUGUUUCUGGAUUGUAUUUUGGGACGUUCGGUUAUUUAGUUUUGAAAAGUCGUUCGUUCAGAACUUAGUAUUUUGUAGAUAUAUUCUGAACCCUGUAUCUUGUACGUUCGGCUUUUAAGAGCUGUUGUAAUUAAGA